UACGGAGGGUGCGAGCGUUGUCCGGAAUCACUGGGCGUAAAGGGCGCGUAGGCGGCUGGGGAAGUCGGCGGUGAAAGCCCGGAGCUCAACUCCGGGUCGGCCGUCGAGACUCCUCGGCUCGAGCUCACUAGAGGCAGAUGGAAUUCCGGGUGUAGCGGUGGAAUGCGUAGAGAUCCGGAAGAACACCGGUGGCGAAGGCGGUCUGCUGGGGUGAGGCUGACGCUGAGGCGCGACAGCGUGGGGAGCAAACAGG
rnacentral:rRNA from 1 species